CAAGGGAAGGGGAAAUGAAUCCCACUGCUGAAUGGCAGGGGCAUCGAGCACCUCCAGAGAGGGGAAGAAUUCACCCCCCACCCCAGCGUGAAUGGUUUUCUUUUGUUAGUCAUAACGUCCACUAGGUUACCUGCCUAAGGGAGCACGUUUAGCCCCAAGGGUUCUUCUAGGUGAAAGGUUGUAGGUCCCUCUUAGGUGCCCCCUUUUACAGAAUAAAUAUUUACAGAUUAGAAACAGGCUCAAAGAGGUAAAGGGAGCUGCUCGAUGUCAGUUCACUUUGGGGACUUGAAGCUAAUAGAAAUGUUUCAUUAGCAUUAUUCAUACCCUGGUCCCUAACAUGGAGUCUAAUAGCCCAUUCAUAGAUGCACGUGUGACUUUAGAAUGAGUGUCAUCCAGCUGGCAGGUGGAUGAGUCAGAACUCGGAUCCGGGUUUUAGACCCAGAUCCAGGGCUCUUUCCCUCACAGUGCCCCGGGGGAGUGUCCAGAAUCAGCUGCCAGUCCACUGGCCUGGGAUGUUUGGGCGCCUUCUCUGAGGAGCCUCUGACUGGCUCCAUGCGUCCGUGAAAUCAGGGCAGUGGGCGGUGUGCCUGGGACACAGCUUCAAGGCCAGAGAAGAAGAGAUAGUGGACUGGCCACCAUCACGGAAGACCGUCAAGACUGAGCAGAAUUUAAACCUGUCUAAGCGCAGCCAAGAAAGAACCCUCUCCCCCGAGCCCCAUCCUACCCUCACUCCCCGUCAUGACUGUGCUUUAAGACCAAAGCUUUUCCAUACAUCACACCAAACGUUUCUGGAGUGGGUGAGGUCCCUCAAGGUCAGAAAACAUACAAUCAGCUGGAAAGAGGGAUUUCUGGGUCAAAAAAUAAUAGUCCGUUAAACUUCAAAAUACCUUUGGUUUUCAAUAGAGGCAGGCUUGUGCCUCAUGGGCGUUUCGUGGAAAUGUAACCACACCUGCCAUGUUAUACGGACAUCCUAGAAACGAGGCCUUUCAUUGGAUUGGUCAGCACUCAAACCCAAUCCAAAACAACAAAAACCCACCAUGCCCACUUGAGUUUGAAUUUCAGAUAAACAACAACACAUUUUUAGUAUUCACCUGUCCUUUGCAACAUUUAGGACCUAUUAUUUAAUUUAUUGUUUAUUAUUUCUAUUAUUAUUGAAUAUGUCUUAUAUAUUGAUUCAGAUAUAUUAAUACUGAAAAAUAAUUUGUCAUUUUUCUGGAAUUUGAAUUUAAAUAGGCAUCCUGUAUUUUAUCUAGCGGCCCUGUCAAGAACUGAAAAGAGGUGCAAGUUUCUUCUCAUUGCUCGGAGGUCUGAUGAUGUCUUCAAUAGAGGCUCUGUAUUUCAAGAUUCUGGUUUGUUUAUUCAAAGAAAGGCCGCCAGCAGGUCCCUCGCACCUAAUGCCUGGCACAGAGAGGGAAAUUGGCUCACCCUGCUCAAAAUAAUCCUUAGCUGUUUCUACACACACAUCUUUAUCUCGUACCAACAAGGAGAGGUUAAUACCCGGCCUGACAACAUCUGCCACCUGGCGGUGAUGCUUGUAAGGACACCCUGACGGAAAACCACCACGCCUAGCUUUGAUUACUAACUUUGUUCUUGUCACAGUGAUGAUGGUGAUGGUGACGAUCAUGAAUACGGCAAAACGGACGUGAUCUAAUUUCUGAAGUGAGGUUAUAAAAGGGACGCCAUUGAUGACAUACCACGUCACACUCCUUGGGAUGGCUCUUGUAAAACCAAAAACAAAACGGGAAACAAGUGUUGGCGAGGAUGUGGAGAAAUUGGAACCCUCGUGCCUUCCUGGUGAGAACGUAAAAUGGCCCGGCUGCCAUGGCAAACAGCAUGGUGGUUCCUCAAAAAGUUAAAUGUAGAAUUGCCGUAUGAUCCAGCAAUUCCACUCCUAGCUAUGUAUCCGAAGGACCCGGAAGCAGGGACUCCAACAGAUAUUCGCACGCCUGUGUUCACAGCAGCCAAGAGGUGGGAGCCGCCCAGUUGUCCCUCGACAGAUGAGUGGAUAACACAGUGGGGUCUAUCCAUAGAGUGGAAUAUUAUUCAGCCCCCAAAAGGAGGACGUUCUGACACAGGCUGUAACGUGGAUGAACCAUGAAGACAUUGUGCUAAGUGAAAUAAAUCAGCCACAAAAAGUCUCAUUUGGCUCCACUUGUAAGACUCUCGUCAUAUUUCAUCAAGGAGAGAAGUCAAAUUCAUAGAGCGAGAAAGUAGAACAGAG